GCUUGAAAAGAUCACCCUGAAUUUGCCCUAUCCCAUCAAAUCUCAGAAAGCUAAGCAGUCAGAGCCUGGUUGUAAGUUAGAUGGAAGACUACCUGGGAAUGCCAGGUCCUGUAAGCU
rnacentral:rRNA from 1 species